rnacentral:rRNA from 1 species
AUUGAACGCUGGCGGCAUGCCUUACACAUGCAAGUCGAACGGCAGCGGACCUUCGGGUGCCGGCGAGUGGCGAACGGGUGAGUAAUAUAUCGGAACGUACCUUUCAGUGGGGGAUAACGUAGCGAAAGUUACGCUAAUACCGCAUAUUCUGUGAGCAGGAAAGCAGGGGAUCGCAGGACCUUGCGCUGAUUGAGCGGCCGAUAUCAGAUUAGCUAGUUGGUGAGGUAAAGGCUCACCAAGGCGACGAUCUGUAGCGGGUCUGAGAGGAUGAUCCGCCACACUGGAACUGAGACACGGUCCAGACUCCUACGAGAGGCAGCAGUGGGGAAUUUUGGACAAUGGGCGCAAGCCUGAUCCAGCCAUGCCGCGUGAGUGAAGAAGGCCUCGGUUGUAAG